rnacentral:rRNA from 1 species
AGUCAAGUAAUUAAGUGCAUGUGGUGGAUGCCUUGGCAGUCAGAGGCGAUGAAAGACGUGAUAGCCUGCGAAAAGCUCCGGGGAGGCGGCAAAUAUCCUUUGAUCCGGAGAUGUCUGAAUGGGGGAACCCACCUACUUUAAGGUAGGUAUUGCAACAUGAAUACAUAGUGUUGCAAGGCGAACGAGGGGAAGUGAAACAUCUCAGUACCCUUAGGAAAAGAAAUCAAUUGAGAUUCCCUCAGUAGCGGCGAGCGAACGGGGAUCAGCCCAUUAAGUUAUGUGUGUUUUAGUGGAACGCUCUGGGAAGUGCGAACGUAGAGGGUGAUAUUCCCGUACACGAAAGGGCACACAUAAUGAUGACGAGUAGGGCGAGGCACGUGAAACCUUGUCUGAAUAUGGGGGGACCAUCCUCCAAGGCUAAAUACUCCUGACUGACCGAUAGUGAACCAGUACCGUGAGGGAAAGGCGAAAAGAACCCCUGUGAGGGGAGUGAAAUAGAUCCUGAAACCGCAUGCAUACAAGCAGUGGGAGCACCUUCGUGGUGUGACUGCGUACCUUUUGUAUAAUGGGUCAGCGACUUAUAUUCAGUAGCAAGGUUAACCGUAUAGGGGAGCCGUAGAGAAAUCGAGUCUUAAUAGGGCGUUUAGUUGCUGGGUAUAGACCCGAAACCAGGCGAUCUAUCCAUGAGCAGGUUGAAGGUUGGGUAACACUAACUGGAGGACCGAACCCACUGUCGUUGAAAAGCCAGGGGAUGACUUGUGGAUAGGGGUGAAAGGCUAAUCAAGCCUGGUGAUAGCUGGUUCUCCCCGAAAGCUAUUUAGGUAGCGCCUCGGACGAAUACCAUAGGGGGUAGAGCACUGUUUCGGCUAGGGGGUCAUCCCGACUUACCAAACCGAUGCAAACUCCGAAUACCUAUGAGUACUAUCCGGGAGACAGACUGCGGGUGCUAACGUCCGUAGUCAAGAGGAAAACAAUCCAGACCGCCAGCUAAGGCCCCAAAAUCAUAGUUAAGUGGGAAACGAUGUGGGAAGGCAUAGACAGCUAGGAGGUUGGCUUAGAAGCAGCCACCCUUUAAAGAAAGCGUAAUAGCUCACUAGUCGAGUCGGCCUGCGCGGAAGAUGUAACGGGGCUAAAACUAUGUGCCGAAGCUGCGGAU